CAAAGGAGGCCCCUGAUCCGAAGGAAGUGGCUGCCAAACCAGUUGAUUCUGUCCAAGGAGCACAGCAGCCCACCGCGGAGGCAGACACACGGGAAAGAAAACCCUCGGUGCUGGUGUUUCUGGCGUGCUCCGUGGCGUUCAUCGCACUUGCCGUGGCGGUCAUACUGGUGUACACCUUCGGCGCCCCCGGAUCGUCAAGGCGCCUUAGGAGCCCGCGCUUCUGCGGCGACGUGCCUUCUUGGAGGACGCGCACGCUCAAGAAUGACUUCGCGAAAUGCUCUGAAGAGACCUGCUCCAAGAUCGUGUGCGGACCUAUCAACGACACCUGGUGCUUCACUGGGGCACCGCCAUUCGACAGCAAGUGCGAGUGCUGUGACUGGUGCGUCGUCCGAGACCUCGUGUGCGGUAAACGGGCUCGGUCGAUCAGCAGCUCCAAUCCGUACGCCUCCUGCCAGGCCAGUUGCGGACGCCUCUCAUGAGCCACUCGUGAGAUUGCCUACCCUAUGGCUGACGCUUCCCGAGGCAAGACUAUGUUGCGGAGUAAAAGAUAACGUGAAACCUUC
rnacentral:lncRNA from 1 species